rnacentral:lncRNA from 1 species
CCAAGGGUGCUGUUGUGUCUGGAGAUAAAACAAAAGAGGUAUCUUAAAUUUCACCAUACUGAGUUAUUUAAUGGUCUGUAUAAUUCUGAGUAGUUUAUGCUUGUUAGAGAGAUUGCUGAAAUUGCAGCAUAUUUUGUUGAUAUUCCUUGUAAUAUUGCAAUAUCCUUUUCUGUUAAAUUGGAAAAAUGCUUCAGUAUUAGCUAAAGUUGCUUAUUUCUUUACCUGUUUGAAGUUGAGAUCAGCAAAUUAUUACUUUCCUGUUACUUAUAUGUUCCUGGGUUGUUGAAAUAACUACUUGGUUGUUGCAUUUUCGUUUAUUAUAGAGUGUUAAGUGCAAAUUCUUAGAAAUGACAUUUGUUGCUUAUUUGAUGACAUGCGGAGAAUGUGUUACAACGUUUAAAUGAUACAUCUCAUCAAGCCAUUGUUACAAACAAAAUUGAUAGAUCUGUCCUUUAUUUAUGAACUCAUGUCUAUGGAGCAUGAGUUCUCAAGUAAUACAAUUGUUGGCUAGGAGUUCUUGAGAGUGUUUAUAUGUGUAUGAUGGCAUCCUUCCUUUUGACCUAUUUUUUUAAUGCAUCAAGCUUUCAUCUUGGGCAAAGUAUACCUGCUUAGGGAGAGAACAAUUGCCAAAAAAGAACCAAAUAACUUUAGCAUGGGCUUAUGCAUCAUUCUAGAUAUUACAACAAUCCAAGUGCCGCCCAACUUUUUGGGUUUGGCCUUGUCCUCUAUGUACAUUCUUGGUCAUGGUUAUGAUUGAAAGCUGAUGGGAACGUUGAACCUAUGAAUGCGAUUGGUUAGAAAUGAUAAUGGUGAAUGCUGAAACACAUAGUACCAAGGGAAUUUGCCUGGGGAUAAUUACUUGGUUCAAGGAUUGAAAAUAUUAGGUAUUGAGACCUGUGCUAGUAUUCCAUUGAGUCGAUGUGGUGCUGUUAUUCUUGGGAUGGCCCUGCAUCCUGGUAAUGUAUUGGGAUAAUUUAUUGUGUUUUUUGUUUUUCCAAUGUUUUAAGUUUUUAUAUUAAAUAAAUUUUUAUCGAAUAUUUUUUUCUAUAUUUAUGUGGUUUUGGAGAUUUUCGGAAGGUGCAUGUCAUCAUACUCAUAUUGGCACCAAUGGUUCCAGUAAUGUUUAAAAAAUUAUCCAUACAUAUAAUGAGAUAUCACCUCUAAAUCAUAUGUCAUACAAGUAUAAUCAAAUUAUGAAUUUGAAUAAAGUCAUAAUCCAGUAAUCCAGUUCUGCUCCCAAAUGGAGUGCAUGUCUUUCACCCUUGCUUACGUCCUAUAUCUAUGUAGCAUAAAAAAUUCAAUCUAAAUGGGAGUAUAAUUUAUUUAAUUUUUGGGACUAGACUCGGUUGGAACCUGAGCACAUCUAAAUUGCACCAAUAUUACUUAAAAUUUGGUAGCAUGUGCAUGUCACAAGUGCAAGCACGCUAUCAUUUUCUAAAACUUGCAUAUUUGUUAUUUAAAAGGUCACUUUUUGGUAAAUUAAUUUUUUAGGUAAACUAUAACCAAAAGGUGAUAAAAUAUAGUUGUAGAAUAAACCAUGAUCUACAUAUCUAAGAAUCGACCUGAGAUUUGAUUGGAUUAAUAUGGGGCAACAAAUUUUGUGGUGUAGGCUUUUGAGUUACCCCCAAAACCAUGAAAUCUACGUGCCUUGAGCAUGAAUCCAAGAAUUGCAUAAUAUUUUCCUGAAAUUUUGGCAGAGUCUCCACAAGUUUUGCAAUUAUCUAAGGAUUUUGUCCAGAAUUUUGGCAGUCUCACGUGACUAUCUGCAUGCUCAUCAUUCUAUAUGAUCGAUGUCUUGGUACCUUUUAGUGUAUCUUUCAAUUAGCCCAAGUAUUUAACCUGGACAUUUCAAGCGAUGCUAAGACACCAACCAUUAUCAGCAUCCCCUUUUUAUACACACUCCAAGGCCAUGUAUGCCGUGCACAGCUCAAGCUAUGGAGCACACAUUUUUAUAGACUCCCUAAGAGCAAUUUUCACUUAACUUUUUGCUAUUGCAUUCUAGGCAAUCUGGAUCCCUACUAUCAUAUGUUCCCAAAGAUGUUAUGUUUGCAAAAACCACAAAUUUAC